rnacentral:rRNA from 1 species
GGGAAUAUUGCGCAAUGGAGGAAACUCUGACGCAGUGACGCCGCGUAUAGGAAGAAGGUUUUCGGAUUGUAAACUAUUGUCGUUAGGGAAGAUAAAAGACUGUACCUAAGGAGGAAGCCCCGGCUAACUAUGUGCCAGCAGCCGCGGUAAUACAUAGGGGGCAAGCGUUAUCCGGAUUUAUUGGGUUUAAAGGGUGCGUAGGCGGAAUGCCAAGUCAGCGGUAAAAUCGCGGGGCUCAACCUCGCUCCGCCGUUGAAACUGGCGUUCUUGAGUGGGCGAGAAGUAUGCGGAAUGCGUGGUGUAGCGGUGAAAUGCAUAGAUAUCACGCAGAACUCCGAUUGCGAAGGCAGCAUACCGGCGCCCAACUGACGCUGAAGCACGAAAGCGUGGGUAUCG